rnacentral:rRNA from 1 species
UGAUAUGCUUGUCUUAAAGAUUAAGCCAUGCAUGUAUCAGUACAAGCCRMACUAAGGUGAAACCGCGAAUGGCUCAUUAAAUCAGUUAUUAUUUACUGGCCGAGACAGUGAUACAUGGAUAACUGUGGUAAUUCUAGAGCUAAUACAUGCAACCGAGCCCCRGYWUCGGCUCUCGGGCCRGCGCGGGGCGCUUUUAUUGGCUGAAAACCGAUGRYCGCCCUCGGGGCGGUCGUUAUUCGAUGAAUCACAAUAACAUUGUGUGGAUCGUAYGGUCUYGYACCGACGACGCGCCUUUCAAAUAUCUGCCUUAUCAGCUCUCGACGGUUUGCUAGUGGCUGACCGUGGCUCUGACGGGUAACGGGGAAUCUGGGUUCGGUUCCGGAGAGGGAGCCUGAGAGAUGGCUACCACAUCUAAGGAAGGCAGCAGGCGCGUAACUUACCCACUCCCAGUUCAGGGAGGUAGUGACAAUAAAUACCUUACAGAGGUYUCGUUAACCGAGAUCUCUYAAACGGAAUGAGUACAACGUGAAUCCUUUAACGAGGAUCGACUGGAGGGCAAGCCUGGUGCCAGCAGCCGCGGUAAUUCCAGCUCCAGUAGCGUAUAUUAAAGUUGUUGCGGUUAAUGAAUGCCUGUAUACAUAUUCAUGGAAUUGGAGAAUACGUCCCUGGCUCGAUUUGGUUGGUUUUGAGAGUCGAAGGGAAAUGAUUAAUAGGGACUGACGGAGGCAUUCGUAUUGCGACGCGAGGGGUGAAAUCCUGUGACCGUCGCACGACGAACUACUGCGAAAGCAUUUGCCGAGAAUGUUUUCAUUAGUCAAGAACGAAAGUUAGAGGUUCGAAGGCGAUCAGAUACCGCCCUAGUUCUAACCGUAAACGAUGUCGACCAGCAAUCCGCAACGGUCACUACACGGACUGUGCGGGCAGCUUCCCCGGGGAAACCAGAGUGUAUGGACUCCGGGGGAAGUAUGGUUGCAAAGCUGAAACUUAAAGGAAUUGACGGAAGGGCACCACCAGGAGUGGAGCUUGCGGCUUAAUUUGACUCAACACGGGACAACUCACCAGGCCCGGACACCGUAAGGAUUGACAGACUGAUAGCUCUCUCUUGAUUCAGUGGGUGGUGGUGCAUGGCCGUUCUUAGUUGGUGGAGUGAUUUGUCUGGUUUAUUCCGAUAACGAACGAGACUCUGGCCUAUUAAAUUUGACACCGUCAGUCUCUUGUGACUGCGGUGAGCUUCUUAGAGGGAUCAUCGGCGUCCCAGCCGAAGGAAAGGGAGCAAUAACAGGUCUGUGAUGCCCUUAGAUGUUCUGGGCUGCACGCGUGUUACACUGAAGUGGUCAGCGCGCCGUUCAACGUCCCACUCCGUGAGGAGCGGGCAAACGUUUGAACCCUUUUCGUGAUGGGAAUUGGGGGUUGCAAUUGUCCCCCAUGAACGAGGAAUUCCAAGUAAGCGCAGGUCACUAGCCUGCGUUGAUUAAGUCCCUGCCCUUUGUACACACCGCCCGUCGCUACUACCGAUGGAUGAUUUGGUGAGAUCGCCUAGACUGGCAGCUGGCUUCGGCCGUGCUGCCGGGAAGACGCUCAAACUUGGUCGUCUAGAGGAAGUAAAAGUCGUAACAAGGUUUCC